rnacentral:rRNA from 1 species
GACGAACCGUGCGAGCGUUGUUCGGAAUCACUGGGCUUAAAGGGUGCGUAGGCGGCGCGACAAGUUGGGUGUGAAAUCCCUCGGCUCAACCGAGGAACUGCGCCCAAAACUGUCGUGCUCGAGGGAGACAGAGGUGAGCGGAACUUAGGGUGGAGCGGUGAAAUGCGUUGAUAUCCUAAGGAGCACCGGUGGCGAAAGCGGCUCACUGGGUCUCUUCUGACGCUGAGGCACGAAAGCUAGGGUAGCGAACGGG